GACGAACGCUGGCGGCGUGCUUAACACAUGCAAGUCGAACGGAAAGGCCCUGCUUUUGUGGGGUGCUCGAGUGGCGAACGGGUGAGUAACACGUGAGUAACCUUCCCUUGACUUUGGGAUAACUUCAGGAAACUGGGGCUAAUAACGGAUAGGAGCUCCUGCUGCAUUGUGGGGGUUGGACAUAUUCGGCGGUUGGGGAUGGACUCGCGGCUUAUCAGCGUGUUGGUGGGGUAGUGGCUUACCAAGGCUUUGACGGGUAGCCGGCCUGAGAGGGUGACCUGCCACAUUGGGACUGAGAUACGGCCCAGACUCCUACGGGGGGCAGCAGUGGGGAAUACUGCACAAUGGGCGGAAGCCUGACGCAGCAACGCCGCGUGCGGGAUGAAGGCCUUCGGGUUGUAACCCGCUUUCGCCUGUGACGAAGCGUGAGUGACGGUAAUGGGUAAAGAAGCACCGGCUAACUACGUG
rnacentral:rRNA from 1 species